GGGGCGUGGAAGAGGCGCGGGGUGGGGGCUGUGAUCUUCUGAGAAACAUGCACCGUCACGUGUGUCAGCCUGCAUUGUCUUCAUGCUGUGCAAUAUUGCUUCACAGGUAACACGUGGGAAGGACAACACGAUUCUCCUGAACACUGCCAGUCUGUCGCUCGCUGUUUUGUUUCCUGAUGUUCUGCUGUGUGAUGCAGCAGCUGAGGAAUUCAGCACCUAGCUGAUGAAUACUGGAUCUGCUGACGGUGGUUCUCCGAGCUGUUGUCCCUACCGCUGGACCUGCUGACCUUGGCAUUGGAGAGGAGCCAAAGAGCAUCCAAGACUGUGGGGCACGGAGGACACCGUAGAAACACGUGGAUUUGCUGACCAAAACACCCGCUGCUCUGGCCUGCAAUGUGACUGAGCAGCUCUGGCAGACCGGUAUUGGCUAAUGUUGCUAUCAACUGUGAGCUCACUGAACAUAAGGGGCUGAGCUUUCCUCUCUGCACUCCAUGCUGGCUGAUAGAUAAGGACUAAGCCUGCUAGUAUUACUAACUGUUACAAGUUCACUGGUUCUGAACUGUUACAAGCUGGUUCUGAAAAUGCUUACAGAAUGACAGUGCUGUCGUCUCAGACCGUUGGAUAUGGAGCUGUCGUGUAAUGGAUUCGGGAGAGAGGUCAAAUGGAAGUCCACAUGUCACCCCCCUGUUGGUGUCAUGUGUGCUUGCUUUCCCUUGUUGUGAUGGACCAAGGAUUAGUAUGAUUAUGGAAUGUGGAUGAUCGUCCUGGUUAUGCUACUUUUACGACGAAAGACGCCAUGUGUGCAGAAUGUGAGAAAAACAGAAGUGAUGACAGUUUAACGUACUGAACUUCCCUCCAGAACAUUUCUGACUUUCUUUGCAGUCUUGCAGAAUAUUGUUUUUAUUUUUUUAGUGACAAGAGAAGUUAAAAAUUAUGAUUAUGUACACUGGAUUUAGGGAAACGUGCAACAAAUGACAUAACGACUCAGCAGCAAAGUCCGCUAUGGAAACGUGCCCUUUUCACCUUGACCUCAUGCCUCGAGUUGAACAGACAAUUUGUGUUUCGCUGGAUUUCACCACCUACUCUAUUUAUUGCCAUACGUCCUGCCCUGUUUUUUUAUCUCUUACGGUGUGUUGUCAUGCUGCUGUGUGGCAGCCUUAGGCGGGUGGGGGGGAGGGGUGGAGGGUCUUGUAUAGUCAUCUUGCAUGUCGCUAUUCUGAGUGGGCUAACUUGUCCCGAAACUGGUUGUUCAUAAUCUUCUUUAGAGACUAAACUGACCAAGAUCCAGUUGUGAUGGUCGUCAUUCUCGCACGACACAACGCAGAAUUACAACAGGACGUAGGGGUCACGAACGUUCCCCCCCCCCCGGCUAGAUUUGUAUAAACAAAAAAUGAAAGAAACUUACUA